UUUUUUUCAAACAAGUUUGAC
rnacentral:piRNA from 1 species